rnacentral:rRNA from 1 species
AUGGCAUCCGGGGCUCCUGUCAGAAAGGAGACAGGGAGAUGGGGGGAGGAGAAAAGGGGGGAAAGGAGGGGAGGUGCGGCGACAGGAGGUCGGACGAGGCGGCGGCUUCCUGCAGUAGACGGCAACGCGGUGCAGGGUGCUGUCCACGGGUGUCAUGGGGCCGUCCUCCUCACCUCAGCUUCCUGGACCUCACACGCCUGCUCCCUUGCCAAGUACGUACGUCCAAGCGGCCACCAUACUCACCACCUCCGCCGACUUCCCCUAUGGUGCCAAUCUCAAGAGCCCCGACAGCUCGAUUCCGUGCAUCCCGGCUCGAUUACUUCAAGGAGGAGGAGGAUGAACGCGUGGCGGAGGUCCUGGACACGGCCGACUGUCCCAGGAAGGUCUGCAGCAACGGCGGCCUCUGGUGCACGCGGAGGUCUCCGUCUCCGUGGAGGUGGAAAUUUAAUUCGACCUCACCUGGGGCUGCCGGCGGACUCCUCCCGAAGCUCCUGCACGCCGCCACGAUGA